UACGAAGGGGGCUAGCGUUGCUCGGAAUGACUGGGCGUAAAGGGCGCGUAGGCGGCUUGCACCGUCGAGAAUGUGAAAUUCCUGGGCUUAACCUGGGGGCUGCAUUUGAUAGCGUGUGGGCUUGAGUGCGGAAGAGGGUCGUGGAAUUCCCAGUGUAGAGGUGAAAUUCGUAGAUAUUGGGAAGAACACCGGUGGCGAAGGCGGCGACCUGGUCCGUGACUGACGCUGAGGCGCGAAGCGUGGGGAGCA
rnacentral:rRNA from 1 species